rnacentral:rRNA from 1 species
GACGAACGCUGGCGGCGUGCCUAAUACAUGCAAGUAGAACGCUGAAGGAGGAGCUUGCUUCUCUGGAUGAGUUGCGAACGGGUGAGUAACGCGUAGGUAACCUGCCUGGUAGCGGGGGAUAACUAUUGGAAACGAUAGCUAAUACCGCAUAAUAGUAGAUGUUGCAUGACAUUUGCUUAAAAGGUGCAAUUGCAUCACUACCAGAUGGACCUGCGUUGUAUUAGCUUGUUGGUGGGGUACCGGCUCACCAAGGCGACGAUACAUAGCCGACCUGAGAGGGUGAUCGGCCACACUGAGAAUGAGACACGGCCCAGACUCCUACGGGAGGCAGCAGUAGGGAAUCUUAGGCAAUGGACGGAAGUCUGACCGAGCAACGCCGAGUGAGUGAAGUAGGUUAUCGGAUCGUAAAGCUCUGUUGUAAGAGAAGAACGAGUGUGAGGGUGGAAAGUUCACACUGUGACGGUAUCUUACCAGAAAGGAACGGCUAACUACGUG